rnacentral:rRNA from 1 species
GACGAACGCUGGCGGCGUGCCUAAUACAUGCAAGUAGAACGCACAGUUUAUACCGUAGCUUGCUACACCAUAGACUGUGAGUUGCGAACGGGUGAGUAACGCGUAGGUAACCUGCCUGGUAGCGGGGGAUAACUAUUGGAAACGAUAGCUAAUACCGCAUAAUAUUAAUUAUUGCAUGAUAAUUAAUUGAAAGGUGCAAUUGCACCACUACCAGAUGGACCUGCGUUGUAUUAGCUAGUAGGUGAGGUAACGGCUCACCUAGGCGACGAUACAUAGCCGACCUGAGAGGGUGAUCGGCCACACUGGGACGUAGACACGGCCCAGACUCCUACGGGAGGCAGCAGUAGGGAAUCUUCGGCAAUGGACGAAAGUCUGACCGAGCAACGCCGCGUGAGUGAAGAAGGUUUUCGGAUCGUAAAGCUCUGUUGUAAGAGAAGAACGGGUGUGAGAGUGGAAAGUUCACACUGUGACGGUAUCUUACCAGAAAGGGACGGCUAACUACGUG